AGGGGGGUAGUUUAUCAAUAAAAUAUAGGCUUUGGGAGUCUAAGAAGCCACUUAUGUGGUCUUCUCUA
rnacentral:tRNA from 1 species